rnacentral:rRNA from 1 species
GAUGAACGCUGGCGGCGUGCCUAAUACAUGCAAGUCGAGCGAACAGAUGAGGAGCUUGCUCCUCUGACGUUAGCGGCGGACGGGUGAGUAACACGUGGAUAACCUACCUAUAAGACUGGGAUAACUUCGGGAAACCGGAGCUAAUACCGGAUAAUAUAUUGAACCGCAUGGUUCAAUAGUGAAAGACGGUUUUGCUGUCACUUAUAGAUGGAUCCGCGCCGCAUUAGCUAGUUGGUAAGGUAACGGCUUACCAAGGCAACGAUGCGUAGCCGACCUGAGAGGGUGAUCGGCCACACUGGAACUGAGACACGGUCCAGACUCCUAAGGGAGGCAGCAGUAGGGAAUCUUCCGCAAUGGGCGAAAGCCUGACGGAGCAACGCCGCGUGAGUGAUGAAGGUCUUCGGAUCGUAAAACUCUGUUAUUAGGGAAGAACAAAUGUGUAAGUAACUAUGCACGUCUUGACGGUACCUAAUCAGAAAGCCACGGCUAACUACGUA